CUAAACAACGAAACACUAUGAACGCGCAAGCAUCGAUGAAAUUAGGAGUGUCUUUUUCCAAUUGAACAUUCAGACACUUUUCUUUAAUCAAUAAGGUCCUAGACUUCAUAAAUACACCUUGUCCCUCCUUUUCAUGGCCUAAAGAGCGUAAAUAACGAACUAUUUCUUUCCCGUGGGAAAGACUGAUUCCUUUAAAUCCAAGUUGAUGAAGUAAAAUUUCCGUCACCUUUCGCUUUCUAUUGUGAAGUUUAUCUGCAAAAAAUUCGGCAAACAACUCGUUUAGAUUACCACGCUCUAGCUUAUUUUGUAUCAAAGCCAAAUUUCUAAUAGCAUCCGUAAACUCUUGUAAGCUAAUUUGUAUGUCGAGAUGAUCAAAUUGCAUAGAUAUUUCCUUUACCAUGUUUCUCUGUUUGGCAUAAGCCUGAAGGAUGUCCUGAGUAUCCAGAUUUUUACAAAGGACUUGAAAGGAUGUAUACGAACACAUAUCGGCUUGUUCCGAUUUAGUAUGAUAUUCUAGUUCACGACUAAAUUCGAGAUCUUCAUCAUGCUUUCUAGACCAAUUUUCUAGUU